rnacentral:rRNA from 1 species
GACGAACGCUGGCGGCGUGCUUAACACAUGCAAGUCGAACGGAAAGGCCUGCUUUCCCUUGUGGAUUGCGGGUACUCGAGUGGCGAACGGGUGAGUAACACGUGAGUGAUCUGCCCCCAACUUGGGUAUAAGCCUGGGAAACUGGGUCUAAUUCCCGAUAGGACUGCAGGGUGGUGCCUGUGGUGGAAAACGAUUUUCUAGUGGUUGGGGAUGAGCUCGCGGCCUAUCAGCUUGUUGGUGGGGUAAUGGCCUACCAAGGCGGCGACGGGUAGCCGGCCUGAGAGGGUGGACGGCCACAUUGGGACUGAGAGACGGCCCAGACUCCUACGGGAGGCAGCAGUGGGGAAUAUUGCACAAUGGGCGGAAGCCUGAUGCAGCGACGCCGCGUGGGGGAUGACGGCCUUCGGGUUGUAAACUCCUUUCGACCGCGAGGAAGCCACCUGGUUGGAAGGGUGGUGACGGUAGUGGUAGAAGAAGCACCGACUAACUACGUG